AACGAACGCUGGCGGCAUGCCUAACACAUGCAAGUCGAACGGAUUAUUGGAGCUUGCUCCAAUGGUUAGUGGCGGACGGGUGAGUAACGCGUGGGAACCUGCCCUGGAGUGGGGAACAACCUUUGGAAACGAAGGCUAAUACCGCAUACGCUCUACGGAGGAAAGGCUUCGGCCGCUCUUGGAUGGUCCCGCGUCUGAUUAGCUUGUUGGUGGGGUAAUGGCCUACCAAGGCGACGAUCAGUAGCUG
rnacentral:rRNA from 1 species